UACGUAGGGGGCUAGCGUUGUCCGGAAUCAUUGGGCGUAAAGCGCGCGUAGGCGGUCCGGUAAGUCCGCUGUGAAAGUCGGGGGCUCAACCCUCGGAUGCCGGUGGAUACUGCCGGGCUUGAGUACGGAAGAGGCGAGUGGAAUUCCUGGUGUAGCGUUGAAAUGCGCAGAUAUCAGGAAGAACACCCGUGGCGAAGGCGGCUCUCUGGGACGGUACUGACGCUGAGACGCGAAAGCGUGGGGAGCGAACAGG
rnacentral:rRNA from 1 species